rnacentral:rRNA from 1 species
CCGGAGAAAGGUGGGGAUGACGUCAAGUCGUCAUUGCCCUUACGACAUGGGCUACACACGUGAUACAAUGGUCGGUGCAAAGGGAUACCAAGCCGAAAGGUGGAGCUAAUCCCAUAAAACCGAUCGUAGUCCGGAUAGCAGUCGGCAACUCGACUGCGUAAAGUCGGAAUCGCUAGUAAUCGCGGAUCAGAAUGUCACGGUGAAUACGUUCCCGGGACUUGACACCCGCCCGUCACACCAUGGGAGUGGGUUGCUCCAGAAGUAGCUACUCUCAUCUCCAAAGGGACGGUUACCACGGAGUGAUUCAUGACUGGGGUGAAGUCGUAACAAAGGUAGCCCGUANAGAAAACCCUUCGUC